UUUGAAAUAGGUGAAAUUGACAAGGAACUAUCUUCUUGUGCAGCUCUUCUCAGUAGCAUUCAAGUCUGGGGGAGCAUGACUAGGCACAUUUUAUGAAUAUUUAAAAUCUUAAUAAAUUCCUCAAAUCCUAAAGUUCAUUUUGCAAGAUCAGACUGCAGGAUGGUGUUGCUGUAUUGUUUUGUUUUGUCUUUUGAAUUUGUGUACUGUGUCCAAAGUUAUGCU